rnacentral:tRNA from 1 species
GCCUUCGCGGUGUAGUGGUCAGCACACUCGACGUGUAUUCGAGAGGUCCGUGGUUCGAGUCCCGGCGAGGGCA